rnacentral:rRNA from 1 species
AUUGAACGCUGGCGGCAGGCCUAACACAUGCAGGUCGAGCGGCAGCGGGAAAGUAGCUUGCUACUUUUGCCGGCGAGCGGCGGACGGGUGAGUAAUGCCUGGGAAAUUGCCCAGUCGAGGGGGAUAACAGUUGGAAACGACUGCUAAUACCGCAUACGCCCUACGGGGGAAAGCAGGGGACCUUCGGGCCUUGCGCGAUUGGAUAUGCCCAGGUGGGAUUAGCUAGUUGGUGAGGUAAUGGCUCACCAAGGCGACGAUCCCUAGCUGGUCUGAGAGGAUGGUCAGCCACACUGGAACUGAGACACGGUCCAGACCCCUACGGGAGGCAGCAGUGGGGAAUAUUGCACAAUGGGGGAAACCCUGAUGCAGCCAUGCCGCGUGUGUGAAGAAGGCCUUCGGGUUGUAAAGCACUUUCAGCGAGGAGGAAAGGUUGAUGCCUAAUACGUAUCAACUGUGACGUUACUCGCAGAAGAAGCACCGGCUAACUCCGUGCCAGCCGCCGCAGUAAAAC